GGCGCUGAGGCGGCGGGGGGGCGGGGGAAGCGGGGGGCGGGGGGGGUGGGGGAGGCCACGGCCGCUGCGGCCGGGCGGAAGCUUUCCCGCACGCGCGACGUCGGCUUGUGCACGAAAUGCUGCGCGCUUGCCUUCCCUAGCGAGCUCGUUGUGAUAGGCAUUUAUUUUCUAUUUUUUUUGGAGGGGGGGUUUUUUAUUUUUUUCUGCCGUUUUACUGAAUAUUUUCAGCGUUUGGUUCAUGGAAACGAGGGGUUGUUUGUGUUUUCUUUUUUUUUUUUCCAUCUUAAGAGUUUUUUUCCCAUUUUAAGACAGUUUUUUUCCCAUCUUAAGAGCUUUUUUCCCAUCUUAAGAGAGUUUUUUUCCCAUCUUAAGACAGUUUUUUUCCCAUCUUAAGAGCUUUUUGCCCAUCUUAAGAGAGUUUUUUUCCCAUUUUAAGAAAGUUUUUUCCCAUCUUAAGAGUUUUUUUCCCAACUUAAGACAGUUUUUUCCCAUCUUAAGAGUUUUUUUUCCAUCUUAAGAGGUUUUUUCCAUCUUAAGAGGUCUUCUUUCCAUCUUAAGACAGUUUUUUUCCCAUCUUAAGAGUUUUUUCCAUCUUAAGAGAGUUUUUUUCCCAUCUUAAGACUUUUUUUCCCAUUUUAAGAGAGUUUUUUCCCAUCUUAAGAGUUUUUUUCCCAUCUUAAGACAGUUUUUUUCCCAUCUUAAGAGCUUUUUUCCCAUCUUAAGAGUUUUUUUCCCAUCUUAAAGAGUUUUUUUCCAUCUUAAGAGAGGUUUUUUCCCAUCUUAAGAGAGGUUUUUUCCCAUCUUAAGAGUUUUUUUUCCAUCUUAAGAGCUUUUUCCAUCUUAAGAGGUUUUUUUUCCAUCUUAAGACAGUUUUUUUUCCAUCUUAAGAGAGUUUUUUUCCCAUCUUAAGAGCUUUUUUCCCAUCUUUAGAGGUUUUUUUUCCCAUCUUGAGAGGUUUUUUUCCCAUCUUAAGAGAGUUUUUGGGGUUUUUUUUGGGCUUUUAUUUUGAUUUUUUUUUACGGGGCUGAAACGUGCCGGCGAAACGCACCCAUUAAAACCACAAAAAAAUAAACGCAAAAAAAAAAAGAAAAACUUAAAAACCCCCCCCCAAACCCCCCCCGCCAGACCCGCCCAAGCGCCCGCCCGCCGCCGCGGGGGGCUGGGGGGGAGGCGGCGGCUGCGCCAGGAACGGGGCCGGAGGCUUCGCGCGCUUCCCACGGCGCGGCGCCGCUUGGUGCGGUUUUGGUUUAGUUGGGAUUUAUUUUUUAUUUUAUUGUGGUUUUUUUUCCCCCCCCCUCCCUAAUUUUUAGCGACGCGGUCUUUGUCGCCGCUUUACGGCUGUUACGUUGUGUUAUAAGGGGGGGAAAGCAUAAAAAAACCCCCACCCCCCCCCGAAAACCCCAAAGUUGCAGGCUGAACACUUUCAACGGCCACUUUUUCCGGCAGGGGGUAUAAUAUUUUUUGUUAAUGAGUGUAUCUUGGGUUUAAAAAAUAAUUAUAAUAAAAAAAAAACACAAAACAGCAAAAAAAAAAAAAAAAAAGAAAAAAAGAAAAACCCCUUUCAGCACUUUAAUGGCAAAUUAAUUGAGAAUGUAAGACGAAUGAUCUUGUAAAAUGCAAAUAAAAAUGUUUAUUAACCGUCA